rnacentral:lncRNA from 1 species
AUUGCCUCAUUUGACAAGGAUCUGGAGACAGCAGCUCGCUUUGGAUCCCAGAGAUGAUUCCAGAUGGAAAGAAGGAAGGAAAGGAGGGAAGAAGAACACAUUUAUAGAAACCAUGGAUUAUUUUUAAGUGCCUUAAAAUAUGGAUUCUGCAUCAGCAGUUGUGGGAAGAGGCAGGACUCUGUAUUUCUAACAAGACCACAGGUGAUGCUGACACUCAUGGUCCUCAGACCACACUGAAUGAUGAGGCCUUUCAACUCAGAAUCCAGACUUAAGACCAAAUAAGGAUCUUAUGGCUGAAAAGCUUCCAGGUACACUUCUCUGAGUAACCAGUACACUGGGGAAAAAGUGGAAACCAGGACUGUUCCAGGCAAGCCUAGCUGUUGGGGACCCUCCCAUACCAUGCGGCUGGCCAGCCUCUUCUGCAUAUAGCGUCCACCCCUAAUGAGAUCCUGGAAGAGCGUUGCCUGCUUGCCUUGUACACCCUCCUCAGUACUCAGACAACCACGUUUCCUAGAGAUUAUCUCAAGAAAACCUCCAGGAACUUGUCAUCAGGUCUCAUGUCCAGGUGCAGAUCCCCUAGUUAUGGCCCUGAACAGAUACAUCCUCCUGCAAACAGGCUUUUGACGUGUACUAAGGAAGCUUUGGCAAUUUAUAUCACCCCCAGUAGUAUGGAUAUUAAAGGAUGUUAAUAUAUCAUUUAAUGUUAAUGUUGUCAGAAGCAGAAGGUGGAGCCAGCAAGCAAUUCAGCAGACAAGGGAAAUCAGCACCAUGAGCUCGCAUCCACAGCUGUUGCUGUCCCUGUGUCCUUGGGAAGAGCUACCUGAUGGAAGAAGGUCUCAUUUGAGUUUCUGCCCUGUUUUCUUCAUUUCAUCAAGUGUAGCUCUCCAUCUAUGAAAGCCAGCAACCCUCAGCUUGGCCACGCUGUGGGCACAAAGUCACACCAGCUGUAAAACCCACCUCUCACUGAAGAAAAAGCCCCUGGUGCUCAAACAGGAAGUCCAGUCUCUGCAGCUGCCUUAGAAGACUUUGUUCUGGGAGCCCCGUCUUCCCCAGAGGCAUCUGGCAAGAGUUCGCAAACCCCCCUGCCAGAAGCAUCACUGUGGGUAUCUGCUCUUUGCGCUUCCCACUGCUCUUCUGGGGAACUCUGCUUAAAAGCCACCCACGGAAGCUUCGCAGUUUUUCCUGUUGCCAAUGCUAACCAAGAAAAAUCGAGUCUAAGCAGGGGCUGCCUGCCGAAGCCGCCUAGGCUGUUGCUUGUCCAGGGGCCAGCGUGGAGCCAGGUUCCAUGCAGAAGUGGGGAGAAAGGCUGUUUCCUCCGCCCUCUGCGCUGCUCUCCCAGGGGAAGCAGGGACUCUGGCUCACCAAUUCUGCAAGAAGCCACUUUAACUCUCAGUCUGCUCUGGCCAGCUUCCCCGCUUCAUGGUGCGGAUGCAGUGGCAGCCCGUCGAGUUCAUUCGCUACAGGAAAGGGGAUGGUAAAUGGACUGUUAAGAGGAAGCCGGUCCUGGCAGGGUGCUUUUGAUGGGCAAAAGGACAUGAUGACAGGCGCCGACGAAGCAUUCCUCUCCACCUUGUGGGAAAGAGCACAAGCCUGGAACAGGUGCAGUCACACACACACACACACACACACACACACACACACACACACACACACACACACACACUGGAACUUGUAACUGCUUACUCAUCUCAAAUAACUUAAAGCAUGUCAUCACCACUCGAGGCCACAGGAAUGAAUCCUGCCACAGAGUGGAGAUCUGUUUUCUUCCUUAAAGCCCUCAGAGUGUUCUGCUUCAAUUCCCUGCAUGGGAUGUAGAUAUAUUAAAUACCAAAAAAAAUGACCAUAAAGUGAACAUUAUGGUUGAGAAAUGAGGUCCAAGGAUGCCAAGAAAUUCAAAACUGAGUGUUCCCCCAGCAGCUCUAACUCAGCCAUUUUUGCACUAAUGCGUCCUUUCCCAUUUCGGAAUCCUCGGUGGAACACCCAUUUCAUAUGGACUCUGGAUCCUUCAAUUGAGCCAGGGGAGGAAUGCCUGGAGUCCCUCUGUUCCUUCUCACUUCCUCAGGUCGUGGGAAAAACCCCCUCUCAGACCCUUCCACGGAGCCCUUGAACGGGGCCAGGCAUGGCACAGCAUGCUCUAGAGCCUGGAGCGGGGGCAGGGAGGGGGCAGCCUAGCCCCAGGAAGCUGGACCAGUUCCCUUCCCCAGCCGCUCCCUGAGAGCCAAGAGGCUAGUCCUGGCUCCACACAGCAACUGUAUCCAUGCUGAUAUGCGGGAUGCAUUAGUGGUUCCACACAACUGAUGUGCUCAGGCACCUCCAGGGUACAUUAGUGGAAGAGGCUUCAGCAGCUGGUGGCUCCUCUUCAGGCAUAAUUUAUCUAUUGCACUUUACUUAAUGUGCAAAAUUAAAUUUAUGCUGAAUCCAUGUGUAUUACCUACUGUGCAUGAGCAGCAUGAAAUAUACCAUAAAGCAAAUCAGCACAGAGCCAUGCUCUUAAUUGCUAAUGGCUUUCAACACACUUCAUUGUGGUCUAACCAAACUUGGACUCUGCUCUACACUAAGAAUCCUGCUCGUAUCAAGGUUGAAAAUGCUUCUCCCAGAGAACUUCUGGAGAACCGAAGGACCAAACAGAAAUGCUUUUGAGCCAGUCUUUCUAGAGCCUGUGUCUUUUAGAGCACAGAUUCUGUGCUUUGCACUAAUGUGAUCGAUACAGUUGCUACAUAGGACAUGAUUUUGCUGAAAAUGAACAAAUCAAUGUCAACUUUUUAAAAGUGGAAUAUAAGAAAUAACCCCAGGAUUCAGUCCAAGUUCUGCCAAUUUGGGUUUCUGGUUCCAUAUAGUAAAACAUAGGGAUUAGAAUGGUUGAUUUCCACCC